rnacentral:misc_RNA from 1 species
CCAAUAGCGUAUAUUAAAGUUGUUGCAGUUAAAAAGCUCGUAGUUGAAUUUCGGGAUCAAAUUGUCGGUCGUGCCUCGGUACGAACUGGUAUUAUUGGUUCCUACCUUCUGAAGAACCGCGAUGUCAUUAAUUUGGUGUCGUGGGGAAUCAGGACUGUUACUUUGAAAAAAUUAGAGUGUUUAAAGCAGGCUUACGCUUGAAUACAUUAGCAUGGAAUAAUGAAAUAGGACGUUUGAUUCUAUUUUGUUGGUUUCUAGGAUUGACGUAAUGAUUAAUAGGGAUAGUUGGGGGCAUUAGUAUUCAAUUGUCAGAGGUGAAAUUCUUGGAUUUAUUGAAGACGAACUACUGCGAAAGCAUUUGCCAAGGAUGUUUUCAUUAAUCAAGAACGAAAGUUAGGGGAUCGAAGACGAUCAGAUACCGUCGUAGUCUUAACCAUAAACUAUGCCGACUAGGGAUCGGAUGAUGUUAAUUUUUUAAUGACUCAUUCGGCGCCUUACG